rnacentral:rRNA from 1 species
UACAGAGGGGGCAAGCGUUAUUCGGAAUUACUGGGCGUAAAGCGCGCGUAGGCGGCUUUGUAAGUUAGAGGUGAAAGCCCGGGGCUCAACCCCGGAACUGCCUUUAAAACUGCAUCGCUUGAAUCCGGGAGAGGUGAGUGGAAUUCCGAGUGUAGAGGUGAAAUUCGUAGAUAUUCGGAAGAACACCAGUGGCGAAGGCGGCUCACUGGACCGGUAUUGACGCUGAGGUGCGAAAACGUGGGGAGCAAACAGG